CCCUCCUGACCGCAGCGGCUAGAGGUUCCAUUGCAGACCCGGAGGCCGUGGCUGUGGUUCGCGGCGGUGCUGUCGCGGGCGCCCUGGCGCAGCCCACGCAGGGGCUCCUGAGGGUCCGCGAGGCCGGGAGGUCCGGGGGUCGGGAGGUCCCGGGGUCGGGAAGUCGGUGGACCCUGCAGGCCAGUGGGGAGGGGAGACAUAAGACAUCAGUCAGUACAUGUGAGGUGUGCAUUGGAUUGAUCCAGAAAGUCAGGACGACUCCAAGUGGAAAGGCCUCCAGGGACAGGAGACAGUAAAAGAAAUGGCCUCUCUCCUCUGUCAGAGUGGAGUCCCGAGCUCCCAGAAAUGCCACAUGAUGGACAAACGCUUGGGGGAAAAAAAAAAAAAAGGAGACCUCAGUCGGACACAAAAGCAGGAGCUUUAAAAGAAAAAAUAAGAGAUAAGUUGAACUUCACCAAAAAAUAAGCGUUUCUGGUCUUUGAAAGACACUUAAAAUGAAAAGGCAAGCCAUCGAUGGGGAAAAUACUCAGAAUAAUGGAUCUGACAGAGGGCUGUAUCUAGAAUAUAUGAAGAUAUUUUAAAAUCCAGUAAUUUGACAUAAAGAUGGUAGCCAGCCUGACACACAAAGGAACCCGAAUGGCCAAUGGACAGGAAGGGAACCCGUAUGGCCGAUGGACAGAAAGGGAAGUGAACGUGAACAUCUCAUUGGGGAUGCCGUUAUCACCACUGGAAUAGUCAAAAACAUGGACACCAAGUAUUGGUGGGUGAGUGGAAUGGCGGGAACCCACAUACACGGUCGAUGGGAGCUGCACCCUUUGGAAAUCAUUUCACAGUUUGUGCUCCAUCCUGGCCAAACCCACAGCUGGAGUCUUUCCAAAAACAGUGACGGGAGUUUCCACCAGGGAGUGCCUCAAACCAUCCCGAGAUGGGGCUGGUUGGGAUUCCAGGGAGAGGCACUCGUUGCCAGGGUGAUCCGUCCAGAGCACUUCCUAGGGGAUCUGGCAUAAGGAGGGCUGCAGUGUAUCCUCAGGACAGAUAGGACAGAUAGUGUAUCUUUGGGACAGACGGCAAGAUGGGGAUUCCACCCAGGUCUGUCUGCAGCGAGUUGAUAUGAGAGUUUAAGGAAUUUGGACCAGGGCUGCUUUGUUUCAGGGUUUUGGGCAAUGACCUAAACACCUUUAUCAGUGCCUGGGAAUGCUCAAGGCCCAGCUUGAGUUCAGGCCUGCAGGGAAAACCUGCAACUGGCCGGGCUGCAGAGUGGUCAGGGCACGGAAAGCCAGAAGCUGGGGACACACCUGCUGUAUGAUCCAGCCGUUCGUCUUUACCUGGGAGAAAUGGCACCACCUGGCUGAACAUAACUUCUUACACUCCCAUGAGUCCUCCUGGACAGGUGCUGUGACCUCGUGCAGCCUUGGGGACCCUGACACUCCCACGGACAGGCCAAGGGGUUUGCCUGGGCCCUGUGGGCACAGAGCCCCUUGAGAUGGGUUUCCCUAUGCAGCCCCCCACCCCCCACCGGGGACCCAUGGCACUGCAGCCCUCACCCCCC
rnacentral:lncRNA from 1 species